rnacentral:rRNA from 1 species
GAUGAACACUGGCGGCGUGCCUAAUACAUGCAAGUCGAACGAACAGACGAGUAGCUUUCUGGUGUGACGGGAGGGGCGGAGGGGGGAGGAACAAGUCGAGAACCUACCUAUACGACUGGGAGGACUACGGGAAGCCGGAGCUACUACCGGAGGAUAUAUUGAACCGGAUGGUUGAAUAGUGAGAGACGGUUUUUGUUUCGGUUAUGGAUGGAUUCGCGGCGCAUUAGCUAGUUGGUAAGGUAACGGCUUACCAAGGCAGCGAUGAGUAGCCGCCCUGAGAGGGUGAUCGGCCACACUGGAACUGCGACACGGUCCAGACUACUACGGGAGGCAGCAGUAGGGGAUCUUCCGCAAUGGGCGAAAGCAUGACGGAGCAACGACGCGGGGGUGAUGAUGGUCUUCGGAUCGUAAAACUCUGUUAUCAGGGAAGAACAAAUGUGUAAGUGACUAUGCACGGCUUGACGGUAGCUAGACAGAAAGCCACGGCUAACUACGUG